AACAGGAUUAGAUACCCUGGUAGUCCAUGCCGUAAACGUUGGGCACUAGGUGUGGGGGACAUUCCACGUUUUCCGCGCCGUAGCUAACGCAUUAAGUGCCCCGCCUGGGGAGUACGGCCGCAAGGCUAAAACUCAAAGGAAUUGACGGGGGCCCGCACAAGCGGCGGAGCAUGCGGAUUAAUUCGAUGCAACGCGAAGAACCUUACCAAGGCUUGACAUGAACCGGAAAUACCUGGAAACAGGUGCCCCGCUUGCGGUCGGUUUACAGGUGGUGCAUGGUUGUCGUCAGCUCGUGUCGUGAGAUGUUGGGUUAAGUCCCGCAACGAGCGCAACCCUCGUUCUAUGUUGCCAGCGCGUGAUGGCGGGGACUCAUAGGAGACUGCCGGGGUCAACUCGGAGGAAGGUGGGGACGACGUCAAAUCAUCAUGCCCCUUAUGUCUUGGGCUUCACGCAUGCUACAAUGGCCGGUACAAAGGGUUGCGAUACUGUGAGGUGGAGCUAAUCCCAAAAAGCCGGUCUCAGUUCGGAUUGGGGUCUGCAACUCGACCCCAUGAAGUCGGAGUCGCUAGUAAUCGCAGAUCAGCAACGCUGCGGUGAAUACGUUCCCGGGCCUUGUACACACCGCCCGUCAAGUCACGAAAGUUGGUAACACCCGAAGCCGGUGGCCUAACCCCU
rnacentral:rRNA from 1 species